GUCCCUGAAACGUAACGGAUAUCGCGUUGGACUUCUCAUCCAGAGGGUGUGGGUUCGAAUCCCACCUGGAAUA